GUAAGUGCAUGACAUGCCAUGCCAUAGUAUAAAUUGUACUUAAUCUACACCAUCAAAAAUAAAUCAAAUCCACCUAACAACCAAUUCUGGAAUCUACUUCCCUAUGAUGGAAUCAGGUGUGUUAUAAUUCCAGGUAAUUGAUUAGGUCUAAUCACCAAAAUAGAAAGCUUCUAAUUUGCCAGCAGUCACUGUUAUAUCUGGGGCACACCAGUGACAGGUAGCACUGGAAUUAAAGCGCAGACUGGAAUGUUAACUCACCCACAUUCUGCCUACUAGCCCCAUUCUCCUCCCGAACUACACCCCCAUGUAUCUUUUGCAUGCAGAGUUCUCUUUGAAGCUGUGAGUUUCACGCGUGGGAAAUCAUGGGAAUCAAAGCUGCCUUAUACAAAAGCAUAUGGUUAGGAGUCCAGGGGAUGUUGAAAAAUGCUACAUAAUAGGAGUCUCCCUAUGGAGAACUCGACUGAGUAUGAGACCCUCAUAUUGUGCAUUUCUUGUGGCCAGGGUGUUUAAAUUGGUGGCCUCAUCCUAUAGCACCAGGAUUUGUCUUCACAUUUAGUUCUCUUGGAUUUUUCUUUUUUAACCUACUUUGACAAAAAAAAGAGGGAGCAAAACAGGAAAAGAAGGCAGGGGCGGGGAAAGAAUAAAUCAUUAUGCAGCUCUCAACCUCCACAGAGAAACAGCAGUACAAACCCACAGAUCCAGAACUGUCGAGCCAUGGGGCUGUUUGUUUACAAGUCACAGAAUCAGUUAUGUAACUAGAUAAGUAAAGGAAAUCAGGCAGGGAGACGAAGAUUCCAGAAGACCAAGAAACUGACGCUGGGGAUGUGUGGGAGAAGUUGCUGAGCUAGACCAGGGAACCUAGCAGGGUGGAAUCGGAGCCCUCUGUGUUUACAAGUUAUGAAGAGACUCAUUCCUCACGUAUAAAAAUAUUUCUGCUUCUUUUUA